CGCCCCGUACAUACAACGAGUAGACUAAAGCGGGCUCCAGACCCGUAGGUCGUGGGUUCAAAUCCCACCGGGCCCACCA
rnacentral:tRNA from 1 species